GACGAACGCUGGCGGCGUGCUUAACACAUGCAAGUCGAACGGUGAAGCGCCUUCCUUUUUGGUGGGUGUGGAUGAGUGGCGAACGGGUGAGUAACACGUGAGUAACCUGCCCCCUUCUUCUGGAUAACCGCAUGAAAGUGUGGCUAAUACGGGAUAUUCUGGGUCUGUCGCAUGAUGGGUCUGGGAAAGAUAUUGUUUCGGUGGGGGAUGGGCUCGCGGCCUAUCAGCUUGUUGGUGGGGUGAUGGCCUACCAAGGCGGUGACGGGUAGCCGGCCUGAGAGGGUGGACGGUCACACUGGGACUGCGACACCGACCAGACUCCGACAGGAGGCAGCAGUGGGGAAUAUUGCACAAGGGGCGCAAGCAUGAUGCAGCGACGCGGCGGGAGGGAUGGAGGCCUGCGGGUUGUGAACCUCUUUCGCCAGUGAAGCAGGCCUGCCUCGUUUGUGGGUGGGUUGACGGUAGCUGGAGAAGAAGCGCCGGCUAACUACGUG
rnacentral:rRNA from 1 species